rnacentral:misc_RNA from 1 species
AAAAAAAGAUCAGUCCUUUUUCCCUGCAUAGAGGCUAGAGGGAGAAAAAAUGACAAAAAAAAAAAAUUAUAUGGGUUUAAGAGAUUAAAACAUAAUUAACCGGUAAAUUUGCAUUUAUUAAUGAUUUAGCAAUAUACAGACACCCCAUUAUCGCUGUAACUACAGAAUUUGGGGGAAAAGGACCUGAAUUAGCUUGUAUUCAUACCGCAAUUACUCUAAUAUACAGAGUUCUCCUCAUCUCUUCUAAAUCUCUUUUGCCUAGCAAUGAAAGCUUCCACUGUGCUCCUGAACUCCUCAUUGCUCAUACUAUCCUCAGGAUACGAAAUUUUCAUCCAUCCCUCCACAGACUCUAUACUUUCCCUGCAUUUUUCGGUCACUGACCUCCUCAAUUCUCGGCAGGACUUGUUGCAAGUACCUCUGUCUAAUUUCUCUGAUUGACUUCUCCGGUAGUUCUUGAUUUCUACAGUUGCACAAGUUUCUUCAGCAACUGUGCACUCAACAGAGGAGCUCUGCUUUUCUGUAUGUCCAGCUUCAUAUUGGUGCAAGCCCUGACUGCUUUCACUCUUUUCAACAAACUCU